AGCGAACGCUGGCGGUAGGCCUAACACAUGCAAGUCGAACGGCAGCACAGGAGAGCUUGCUCUCUGGGUGGCGAGUGGCGGACGGGUGAGGAAUACAUCGGAAUCUACUUUUUCGUGGGGGAUAACGUAGGGAAACUUACGCUAAUACCGCAUACGACCUACGGGUGAAAGCAGGGGACCUUCGGGCCUUGCGCGAUUGAAUGAGCCGAUGUCGGAUUAGCUAGUUGGCGGGGUAAAGGCCCACCAAGGCGACGAUCCGUAGCUGGUCUGAGAGGAUGAUCAGCCACACUGGAACUGAGACACGGUCCAGACUCCUACGGGAGGCAGCAGUGGGGAAUAUUGGACAAUGGGCGCAAGCCUGGUCCAGCCAUACCGCGUGGGUGAAGAAGGCCUUCGGGUUGUAAAGCCCUUUUGUUGGGAAAGAAAUCCAGCUGGCUAAUACCCGGUUGGGAUGACGGUACCCAAAGAAUAAGCACCGGCUAACUUCGUGCCAGCCGCCGCAGUAA
rnacentral:rRNA from 1 species